rnacentral:rRNA from 1 species
GUUUGUGGCCGUACUAUCCUGAAGGUGCCUAAUCUUGUCUGAUCUUGGAAGCUAACCAGGGUUGGGCCUGGUUAAUUCUAGGAUGGGGGCCAGGCACGGUGGCUCAUGCC